AUUGAACGCUGGCGGCAGGCUUAACACAUGCAAGUCGAGCGGAGUGAUGGUGCUUGCACUAUCACUUAGCGGCGGACGGGUGAGUAAUGCUUAGGAAUCUGCCUAUUAGUGGGGGACAACAUCUCGAAAGGGAUGCUAAUACCGCAUACGUCCUACGGGAGAAAACAGGGGACCACUUGUGACCUUGCGCUAAUAGAUGAGCCUAAGUCGGAUUAGCUAGUUGGUGGGGUAAAGGCCUACCAAGGCGACGAUCUGUAGCGGGUCUGAGAGGAUGAUCCGACACACUGGGACUGAGACACGGCCCAGACUCCUACGGGAGGCAGCAGUGGGGAAUAUUGGACAAUGGGGGGAACCCUGAUCCAGCCAUGCCGCGUGUGUGAAGAAGGCCUUAUGGUUGUAAAGCACUUUAAGCGAGGAGGAGGCUCUUUUGGUUAAUACCCAAGAUGAGUGGACGUUACUCGCAGAAUAAGCACCGGCUAACUCUGUGCCAGCAGCCGCCGUAA
rnacentral:rRNA from 1 species